GACGCACGCCGCUCCGCUCACUCCGCCAGUCUGAUCUCUCUCUCGCUCGGCUAGUAUGGCCGUGCGUGACGGUCUAGACGUGUUGCGUAUGGGGCUCCUUGCUCUUAGUAGUUGUGUUUAGCUUCGUGCCGUCGACGCGUUUAAUUAAUCGAAUCGUGAGCCAGACGAAAAUUGUGCGACGCCAUGGAGCGCGCGUCGGAGGCGCUCAGCGUCGACGACGUCUACAGCCUUGCCGAGGAGAUCGGGAAAGAGUUCGAAAUCCUCAUUGACAACUACGGCGUCGAGCCCGUGAACAAGCUGGUCACUAAAGUGAUUCGCGUGUUGGAGUACCUCGAAGCGUACGCCACCAAGAAUGACAUCGCCCGCAACGAGAUCGCCGAGCUCAGGGCCCAGAUCUACCAGCUCGAGCAUGACAAGUACGAGAAGGCGGAGUCGAGAAGCAAGCUCGAAAAGGAGAUGGAGCAGUAUGAAGACAUCUGGCGGCAAGAAAUGAAAGAUCUGGGUGUCCUUGUGGCACGGCUACAGGAGGAAAACUCCAAACUGAGCAGUUCCCUCAAAGAGAGAGAAAGUCACCCGUCCUUGCAGUGCGAACCACACAGUGUGACGCUAGGGGAGGACAUUGUCGUCCUUGAACGGCUCCGGGAUGCCUUCGACAAGCAGGGAGCCCAACUGAGACAUAAUGAAAAGGACAUGGCUAAGAAAGCUGCCGACAUAGAAUCUCUUCAGCAGCAGCUGGAAGCCAGUAAGAAGGCAGCCCAAGAGCAGAGCCGACGCAACCGGCGGCUGCAGCAGCAGAUGCGACAGUUGUGCGAGGAGCGCGGUGACCUGCAAGUGCAGCUGCAGGACCAGCAGAGCCAGCUCCAGACCUUGCAGGAGCGACUAGGCAUUGCCGUCAAGGACCACGACGACAUUCUCCAGUCCAGGGACGCUGCCUUGGAUAUGCAAGGAAAAGUGGUGAUUGACUUGGACGACCCGAACCGACCACGCUUCACGCUGGAGGAGCUCAAGCACAUCUUGUUUGAGAGGAACGAGCUCAAGGCUCGAGUUAGUGAUCUCGAAGACGAGCUGGCUCUGUACAGGCCAAGGUGGUGGGCUCAUGAGGCAACCUCGCUUCUGACCAGGCCGGUUGACCCACCAUCGCCGGUCAGGGACGAAGACCGGCCCGUCCAGGGACCCAUCAACCAGGAGCCUGAGGAGAAGCUUUUUUCUUACGGAAAGGCCUCCGGCAUUCGCAAAUUGUUCCGGGUCAUUAAUAAAAUUAGAGGAUGAGUUUGCUGCCGUAUCUUGGACCUUGAAGGAAGGCAGCUCGCAGCAGUCAUCCCCCCCUUGACUGUUUUCCAAGUGUCCUGUGGCCUCGCGUCAAGCCGGGAUGAGAGGCCUCGUCUGCUGUCUCCUGCGGGGCCUGCUCUCUCACGGUGGCCUCUCGAUGGAGUUCUUUGUCGACAUCGCACCAUUCUUCGAACUGCACACGGCCUUGUCUCCGGAUUCCAGAGUGCUGCAGUGAAGCCAUGCUUUCGUUGCUUGGAAGUGCAGCAAGGAUGGAAAGUGAUGCGCGCACCCCACCUCUCCAGGGGACGUGUGUCAUUGCCACUGCAGCCCAGUGGCAUUGUGUGUGUGUGUAUUAUCUUGUGGACGUGCCAAGCUAGGAAAGCGGCAGCUUGCAGAGGUGACAGCGAGUCCUCAAAUUGAAUUAAAAUGUCACGAUUAGUGGGCAGGGCCAAAUGUGGCUUCACUGUUUUAGAGGUCCAUCUCGAUGUGCAACUAAAAUUUAAAAGCAGCAACCAUACGGAACAUCCCCUUGAUGCAGGUAUUUGCGUUGCCUUGUUUCUGCGCACAUUUUGUGACCCACAAAGCCCCUACUGUAGUUGCAGCUGAGGUGUGUGUUCAAUGUGGCUGCUUCGGUGAGUUAAGUUAAAGUGGGGCACCAUUUAGCUGCGAUUGCAGUGUGGGCAUAGUGUGUUGUGAAAUAGACGUGGCAAUAUCAUGACUGAAAACAUCGUCGAAGCUUGUUCCAAAUCUUUUCUUUUAAAUGUGUGUGCAUUCAAGUAUACUUACAAUUCUGCAGGAGGUACCAAAAUAUUGUGCGUGCAGUAAUACAAACUAGGCACUGCACACAUGUGCACAGAGUUACGAACGUGGCUUUGUCUGUAGUUUAACAGAGACCGAAUGCAGUGUUUGCAACUUGCAUUAUAUAGUUUUUAUUUUUUCUGUCGGUAAUGAAAGGUCAUGUUCUGUGUAGAUUUGUUUUAUUUAUUUUAUUGUAUUUUAAUGUCUUACCGUUUUCGAUUUUUAAUGCAUUUUAGCUGCAGCCUUUUCGGUUAAGCUUCAUUUUUUUUUUGUUGCUUGCGUUGCAUUACACAUCAUCAUCAUCAUCAGCCUGAUUACGCCCACUGCAGGGCAAAGGCCUCUCCCAUACUUCUCCAACUACCCCGGUCAUGUACUCACAUUACACACUGCUUCUUAAUUAUUAAUGAAGUCCAGGACACUGAAAAAAUACCUUAUCUAGAGAGACGGUCUUGGUAAAAUAGAUCUAAUCUGUUAUCACUACUUACGAGCACAAUCAUUAAAUGUUGCGAGUAGAUAAUUUCACUUUCGUCUGGUAGAGAAAUAACUGCAGGACAGUGUUUCAUAAGAUGCAUAUCUGGCAGCAAUGUCAUUUUCGCAUGUGUCCUACAGUGCAGGUCAUUUGCUUUCAGUAUAGACACUAACUGUUUAUAAGAUAUGACCUUAAUGUGCUUUUAAAGCAGUAUUUGACACAGACAUGCAGGCAUUGUUAAUGAUAAGGUUGACAUUACCUUUUGAUUAGGAGAUAUAUUCCAAAAGGACUUGCUAUUGGGCUCGUAACAUACCUUAGAUGAUUAAAAGAGCGCAAACAGGCACACUCGCAACCACACACACACAGUGCUCAGUUCUGUUUGAUUGCUCGUAUGCAAGCCCACACUUAUGUGCAGAAAGUUAAGCGUGUGCAAACUAAAAAAAAAGUUAUAUAAGCCGCUGUCAGAAAGACAGAAUAUGUUGGUCACAGCCUUGAAUCCAAAAAAGAUACUUUUGCAGGGAACAAAGUUACAAAUAGUUCACCGACACACUACUGCUCAUUCUUUCAAAUGAAAAGGGAUUCUAAGGCCACACGUGUUGUUCUUGCACUUUUAACAAGAGCCUGUCUGCCAUGAAACUGUGACUCACAGCCAAAAGAUGUGACACAUCUCACAUCUCACAAGAUGUGAGAUGUGAAAUUAUGAGACUAUGUUCGUGAAAUGUUCUAUCGGAGUUGUUUAUUCAAUUCCUCUUUCCUGCAGUAAACUGUACACCGGCCAAACCGAACGAUGUUUGAAUGAUCGAUUUACAAGAGCACGCACAAAAAGCAAAGAAAAAAGAAAAGUAUGCGCACUUGGUUGCGCAUGUCGCAUCUUCUUCUGGCUGUGAGCCACGGUUUCACGACACACAGACUCUUGGCAAAAGUGCAAGAACAGCACGCGUGGCCUCGGAAGCCCUUUUCAUUCGAAAGAAUGGGCAGCAGCCUUAGUGGACCAUCUGUAACUUUGUUUCCUGUUUAAGUGUCGUUUUUGUAUUCAAGCCUGUGAACAACAUAUUCUGCCUUUCUGAUAGCAACUUCAAUUACUUUUUUUUUUCACCGCAUGCUUAGCUUUCUGUAUAAAUUUGGGCUUGCAUACAAGCAAUAAAACAGUUGGAAGUGAGCGGUGCGUGUGGGGGAAGUAUCUAGUGUGUGUGUGGUUGUGAAUGUGUCUAUUUGUGCUCUUGUAAUUAUCUAAGUUACAUGUUUAGGACAUUGAGCAAAAAGCCUAUGCUAGGACAUGCUGCUUGAAACUUGCAUACACAAUGUGACUGUUGGGGGGAAAAGGCUCAGAGUUGCCAUGACAAUAACAUUGCAAGACACAAGUUAACUUAGAAAUAGCAGUGUGUUUGUGUAAGAAUAAAUUUAAGUCCGUUCAUUUGUUGCUUUUUAUCCGUUCACUUCAUACGAGACGUUUAAUGCUGCUGUACAUAUGCGAAUUAAGCAAUUACCAUAGUGCAAGAUUUAGUCGUGUAGAUUUAAAGUCUAGGGGUUAGCGGCACAAAGAACAACUUCCUUGCUUCUCUUAUUUUACUAAACAAACAACUUGUUGAACCAUUCUGUAUGUCUAUAAAAUAAACCCAUAUAGCGUCUUCAGUAAAACUGUGUGCCACCAUGCUCAAGGCUGAAUUGUAGCAGGCACUUGCUGGUGGCACCGAUAAGCAAGCUGCAGGGAGCACCACGUGUCCGAGCAUGGCUGCCACUGCCCAAAAAGCAGCUGUCUUAAGCGCCAUGAAAGGGUGCUAUAUAAAAAGACAAUAUCAUCACUGAAAUAACUUGCCUGCGACUUCAACAAACUUGCAGUUCUGAAAGUGAUUACCUUUGUUACCGAGAUUGUUUGGUCAAGAGUUUGUUGGCCAGAGACGCUAGGAUUGCUAAAUGGAAAAACUUUGUGUUACAGUGGCUUGGUAGCAUGCAUGCUUACCUCGUGAAUAUGUACAGUGCUCACGGAAUGAAAUGGGACACGGAGCAUUUAGUAGAACCCUACAUAUGUGCAAAGUACGCGAGAGCAGCAUGUCAUGUCGCUAGGAAUUUGAUCACCAAAGGUGACCAGGACUACGAUGUAAGUGUAUGCGCCAGAAUUACGUUGAUGCGACACGAACUGCAAUCGGUUGAAACGAAAGUGUGCGCAUCACUUAGCCCUAAAUUGACGCGUUUCAUUCCGUGAGCACUGUACAUGUACAACACUGUCUUAUGACUCUGUCUGUGUAUUCUGAUAUUAAGAGAAGCUUGACACAUGGGCAAGCUUGCAAGUGGCUGUGUGUAAUGGCUUGAAACCAGAUGAGCUUUACCUGUCUUCCCUCGCCUCAGCCAAGCAAGCACAAUUGUAAAUCAAGAGGAACGACUGCCCAGCAGCGCAUCAUUCACAUUUUUCACAACACCGUAAACAUUAAUUUUUGCCGAUUGCCUGCUGUCUGUAAAUCACUAGCUUUUUACAUUGUAUACUGUAAGUUACGUUGUGCUCUGCAUCCCAUUAUUCUUAUUCAGAUUGGACUUGAAAUAUGGAAUUUGAGUUCACAUGAGUAGAGUUCUGCCUUAGUCAACAUGAAAUGUGUUACUUUCAUAUAAUAAUUUGUUGCAGCUAAUUUAUUGGAAACUGCACUCUUAUUCUGUAGCCUUUCUAAUGAAUUGGAGUGCUACGAGUAUUUGCUACUACCAGUGGUUAGCGUUCACUAUCGCAGUACCUCCCAUAAUAAUGAGUGUCCUAAAACUGUUGUCACAGUCGAAUGGCAAAAUGCUGCUAUUCAAAACCGCACUGACAGCUUGAUGGCUUGUUAGCGAGUGUCACAGAAAUCCUCUAGAAGCACAUUAUGCCCUUUACGUAGCACGCAGGCAAUGUCCAUUAACAAAAUGCCGAGACAAAUGCUGUGUGCAACACUUUGGUGUAUAACCGCACAUUUUUCUGUCAACCAGUCGUCAGCAUGCAGAAAAGUGUGCACAUUCCAUGUAUAACGAAGAUCUACUGUUGAAGCUACUACUUGUCAUGUUGCUGUGAUUAUGUCACCAAAGAAAUGUGUUUGCACCACUGGUGAAAUGUGUGCAACGUUUUCAGAGCCCCAAGCUCUUAACAUUGCAAUGGUUCAGCUUCACACAUGCUGUCAUGGCAGAUAGGGAGCCUAGUCUGAGAAAGCUUGGUGAUGGGACGCAAGGUGCCUCACGCAGUCACACAUUAUUUUUUCAGCUGCUAACUGUAAGAAAAGUGUCCCAGCAAAAGGUUUGCCCAGUGGACCACGGCUGUCUAGAUGGUUUGCUGGCAUGUUUUGAAAUGAAGCCCAUUAAAGUGAUGGACAAAAAACCUUUAUGAAAGCUUGUAUGGUAGGGAUUAAUCACAGUCGGAGGUCGAAUGGAUGCCAACCACAACAAAAUGGCAGUCGCAAUGUUUGGCUUUUUUUUUUUUUUUUCUUUGUCUGCAUCUAUUUAACCUUUGACUACGUUUCCAAUUUUGUCAGGGUAUAGGCGGUGCCGUUUGUGCUGGUACCUUAGGGACAUGGCUGGCCUCCAAGGGCACUGGUGUGUGCGAGCCUACAUUGUUUCUGCACAUAAUGUACAACUGUUGGUGCAGCGUUUGAGGUAGUAGUAGUGGCACCGUAGUCACGCAAGUUUGCAGACAUUUGCUGGCAUCUUCUCGAGACAACUGUCACGUGCCAAUGUGUGUGGGAGGGGCCCGUAGCUACAGUGGACCCCAAAACACCGCAGUGCCAGAAAUGUUCUUUGCCUAUCACACUAGUUAACAAGUAGAGGCACACGUAUAAUUGGAACAUUUUUUUACCUCUCUAUUCAUGAACUGCCUUUGAAGCCAGAGCCAGUUCACCACUUGACUACAACUUCUGAUGGGUGCACCCUCGAGUGCAGGCCUUACUAAUAUGGUAGACAUUUGCAGUUUUUGCACACCAGUUAAUAUAAUGCUGUGCUAAGAUAAUCAUUCUACUUAAUCAACAUCACCCUCAUUGGACUUGUAGAUAAGGUGUAGUAGAAAAAGCAAGCUUUUGCAUUGUCCGUUAGAGCAGGAGCUAAGAACAGCAGAUUGCAUGUAUUGGCAUAUGGCUCAAUGCUUUCAAUAAAAAUUUUUCAUCCUACA